UCGGUCAAGAUACUCGAGUACUCGCGAGUACUCGGAUGAAUCUUAAACGUCUAUUGAAAAAAUUAGAUUUAAGGUGGGAUGCAGUGUUUUUGUUAUUUCCUUUCAUAAACAUAAGUCAAACGUACUACAAACAUAGCUUGCUCCUCUGUUUUUUGUUUGUGUCAAUUUAACAAUGAAUUACCGACCGCCGUUUCUACAAAUA
rnacentral:lncRNA from 1 species